AGAGAGAGAGAGAGAGAGACAGGGGCAUGGAGAAUCCCAAUGCCCAGUCCAUCAGACAUCACAGCCUACUCUUCACACCCUCUUGUCACCAAUUAUGCUACUAAACUAAUCUAAUCUCUUCUUCCCUCUCUUACUCCCCUUCACAAACAGCCUCAUGCCUCUUCCGCUGAUCCACUCCCAUCAAACUUUCCUCUUCUCCUUCUUCUACUUCUUCUUCUUCCACAAAACAACCGAACCCUUCUUAUGAUCUGAAAUUCCAGCACCCAAUCAACAACCAUUGCCCCUUCUCCUUCCACAAAACAACCAAACACUUCUCAUGAUCUGAAAUUCCAACGUCCAAUCAACAACCAUUGCCUCUUUUAUGGUCAUCAGCAAAAAACCCAGAUCACAGAAUCACUAUCCAAACCCAAAUUUCAUGAGAGAAGAUCGCACAGAAAUGUCUGAAGACGACGACCGA
rnacentral:misc_RNA from 1 species